rnacentral:lncRNA from 1 species
UGGAGUAAACAAAACUAUACAGUGCAAUUGUUUUACCAACUUGUGGACAGAAAUCAAGUUGUGUUUAAAGGAAGGAACCAGAAGGACAUUGUGAAGAGUAAGGGAAGAAGUUAAUGCAAAAGAACCUGUACAAGUUACUUUCACUUUGUAACUAUUAGGCAAAGUUACAAGAUAAGGAACAGUCAAAGGUAUGAUGUUAAAGAGUAGAUGUACAAGUUACUUUCACUUUGUAACCAUUAGGCAAAGUUACUAGAUAAGGAACAGUCAAAGGUAUGAUGUUAAAGAGUAGGUUUUUAUCAUGUGUUAUAUGAUUAGAUGCCCCUGAAUCUAUGAUCCAG